CCUACGGGAGGCUGCAGUCGAGAAUCAUUCACAAUGGGGGAAACCCUGAUGGUGCGACGCCGCGUGGGGGAAUGAAGGUCUUCGGAUUGUAAACCCCUGUCAUGUGGGAGCAAAUUAAAAAGAUCGUACCACACGAGGAAGAGACGGCUAACUCUGUGCCAGCAGCCGCGGUAAUACAGAGGUCUCAAGCGUUGUUCGGAAUCACUGGGCGUAAAGCGUGCGUAGGCUGUUUCGUAAGUCGUGUGUGAAAGGCGCGGGCUCAACCCGCGGACGGCACAUGAUACUGCGAGACUAGAGUAAUGGAGGGGGAACCGGAAUUCUCGGUGUAGCAGUGAAAUGCGUAGAUAUCGAGAGGAACACUCGUGGCGAAGGCGGGUUCCUGGACAGUAACUGACGCUGAGGCACGAAGGCCAGGGGAGCGAAAGGGAUUAGAUACCCGGGUAGUC
rnacentral:rRNA from 1 species